UUUAAAUAAUUUAAAAAAAAAUUUAUUUUUAAUUGUAGUUGGACACAUGUCUUUAUUUUAUUUAUUUAUUUUUAUGUGGUGCUGAGGAUUGAACCCAGGGCCCUGCAUGUUCUAGGUGCGCAUGCUUACCACUGGUCUUCAACCCCAGCCCCCAAAGGUUUAUGAAACCUUUAUAUGAAUCCUCAUAUACUGCCUUCCCAGUUCCCACAAUUUUCCCUAUUUCUUUUCUUCCUCUCCUCUACCACCGAGGCCUUCCUUUUCCUCUUCGUCCUCCUCCUCCUCCUCCUCCUCCUUCUCCUUCUCCUCCUUCUCCUUCUCCUCCUUCUCCUCCUCCUCCUCCUCCUCUUCCUCCUCCUCCUCCUCCUCCUUCUUCCUUCUCUCUCUCUCUCUCUCUCUCUCUCUCUCUUAUUUUGGGUGCUGGUACUGUGGAUUGAAUGCAUACUAAUCAAGUGAGCUCAUGCUACUACUGAACUACACCCAAGCCUAGUUUCCUCUAUUAAUAUCUGUGGAAUACUUGUUACAAUUGAUAAAUCAGUAUUGAUUGACAUAGCAUCACAACCAAAGUUCAAAAUUUGUUUGAGUUCAAUCUCUGUGUUGUACAUUAUUUGGAUUUUGCCAAAUGUAUAACUUUUGGCAAAAAACUUUAGGUAUCCAUGACUGUAGUGUAUAAAAUAGUUUCACUGCCCUAAGCUUCUCUGUGUACCCCCUAGUAAUACUUCCCUCCGUCCCGUUCAGAAACAACUGGUCAUUUUAUUCUCUCUAUAGUUUUGCAUUUUCCAGAAUGUCGUAUANCUCAGGGGUGCUUAACCAUUGAGCCAAAUACCCAGCCCUUUUUUAAAAUAUUUUAUUUAGAGACAGGGUCUCACUGAAUUGAUAGUGCCUCUCUGAGUUGCUGAGGCUGGCUUUGAACUCGAGAUCCUCCUAUCUCAGCCUCCAAGUCACUGGAAUUACAGGCAUGUGCCACUACACCCAGCUCCACAUGUAUCUUUGAUCUGUUACAGAAAAUGGGUCUGUCUGGCCUCAAACAUGCAAUCCUGCCUUAGUCUCCCAAAUCACUGGUAUUACAGGUGGGCUUCACCAUGCCUGAUUUCGAGCAAUAAAUUUGUGAAUGACAGGAUAAAUGGAUAUCUGGACUAGAGUAGAACAUUCUAGGGAUAUCACUAUGAGAUAUGAGGGGAUGAGAAGCAAGUGGAAGAUAAAGGUUACUUUUUUUUUCCAUCCUAGAGAUUGAACCCAUGGGUACUUAACCACUGAGCCACAUCCGAAACCUUUUAUUUUAUUUUAUUUAGAAACAGGGUCUCACUGAUUUGCUUAGGGCCUCGAUAAGUUUCUGAGGCUGGCCUUGAACUCAUGAUCCUCCUGCCUCAGCCUCAGAGCCACUGGGUUCAUAGGCACUUGCCACUGGGCCCAGUGAUAAGGGUUACUUAAACAAGUUUAUUCCAGUUCAUUGUAUUAUCAAUUACCAGUCUGACACCUCUCACAGUGGAAUCUGUUUUCUUUCUUUUUCUUUUCUUUUUUUUGUGGUGCUGGAGAUGGAACCCAAGGUCUCACACUUGCUAGGGAAAUGCUCCACUAUGGAGCCACACCUUCAGCCCAAACAUGUUUUGUUUUUCUUUUUUUGUGUGUGUGUGUGUGGUGCUGGGGAUUGAACCCAUGGCCUUGUGCAUGAGAGCACUCUACCAACUGAGCUAAAUUCCUAGCCCCUAGACGUUUCCUUUUUUUUUUUUUUAAAUAAUUUAAAAAAAAAUUUAUUUUUAAUUGUAGUUGGACACAUGUCUUUAUUUUAUUUAUUUAUUUUUAUGUGGUGCUGAGGAUUGAACCCAGGGCCCUGCAUGUUCUAGGUGCGCAUGCUUACCACUGGUCUUCAACCCCAGCCCCCAAAGGUUUAUGAAACCUUUAUAUGAAUCCUCAUAUACUGCCUUCCCAGUUCCCACAAUUUUCCCUAUUUCUUUUCUUCCUCUCCUCUACCACCGAGGCCUUCCUUUUCCUCUUCGUCCUCCUCCUCCUCCUCCUCCUCCUUCUCCUUCUCCUCCUUCUCCUUCUCCUCCUUCUCCUCCUCCUCCUCCUCCUCUUCCUCCUCCUUCUUCCUUCUCUCUCUCUCUCUCUCUCUCUCUCUCUCUUAUUUUGGGUGCUGGUACUGUGGAUUGAAUGCAUACUAAUCAAGUGAGCUCAUGCUACUACUGAACUACACCCAAGCCUAGUUUCCUCUAUUAAUAUCUGUGGAAUACUUGUUACAAUUGAUAAAUCAGUAUUGAUUGACAUAGCAUCACAACCAAAGUUCAAAAUUUGUUUGAGUUCAAUCUCUGUGUUGUACAUUAUUUGGAUUUUGCCAAAUGUAUAACUUUUGGCAAAAAACUUUAGGUAUCCAUGACUGUAGUGUAUAAAAUAGUUUCACUGCCCUAAGCUUCUCUGUGUACCCCCUAGUAAUACUUCCCUCCGUCCCGUUCAGAAACAACUGGUCAUUUUAUUCUCUCUAUAGUUUUGCAUUUUCCAGAAUGUCGUAUAGUUGGAAUUAUACAGCACAUAGACUUCAGAUUGGCUGUUUGAACUUAGCAAAAUGGCAUUUAAGAUUCCACCAUGUCUUUUUGUGUCUCUAUUGUUCAUUUUUUAAAAAUAUUUUUUUAGUUGUAGAUGGAUACAAUACCUUUAUUUUUUUAUUUUUAUGUGGUGCUGAGGAUCACACUCAGUGCCUCAUACAUGCAAGGCAAGUGCUCUGCCACUGAGCUACAACCCCAGCCCUUGUUCAUGUAUUUUUAUUUUGGAAUAUAUUCCAUUGUCUGGAUGUUUCAGUUUGUUUACCCAUUCACAUAUGAAAGGCCAUCUCGACUACUUUGGAGCUGAAUUGGUUUGGCAGAUGGCUCUUAAAGGGCACAGCCAGCUGGGCCUGUAGCAAGUAGUGACCACUAGAGGGCAACAGAGUCCCUUAUUCUCUCUACCCUGGUAGAUGUAAGACAUUUCUUUCUUUCUUUUUUGGUGGUGGUAGGGGGAGAGUUUACUGGGAAUUGAACUCAGGGAUACUUGACCACUGAGCCAUAUCCCCACCCCUAUUUUGUAUUUUAUGUAAAGACAGGGUCUCACUGAGUUGCUUAGUUUCUUGCUGUUGCAGAGGCUGGCUUUGAAUUUGCAAUCCUCCUAACUUAGCCUCCCAAGCUGCUGGGAUUACAGUAUGUAAUCCCAACAUGCCUGGCAAAUGUAAGCCAUUUCUUGUUGAUCUAGACUUGAUCUGGUAUUUGCUCUGAGCUAGACAUUUGUGGGAAAAAGAUAAGUUGGACUGACUUUCUUUGAUGUAAAUACCAGGGUUUCAUGACUAGAUGUUUCCUUGAAAUUGACUACAGUUUUCUUACUUCAUCAUUUAUUGAGCUUGUCUAGACUAGCAACUUGUCCCAAAGAAGCUAAACGAAAUGCCAGCUGGACUGUUUAGCUAUAGAGAUGAGAGUGCGGACAUCAAGGAGAAAAAGCUGCCCUAAGUCCUGAUUUACUAGGAGGGCAAUGCCAGGCAGCCCCUUGCCCAGGCAUGCUUGGACUGGUUGAAUGAGAAACCAGGGGACUCAGUACAAAGUGGAAUCACUUGGUGUAUUAAGUUCAUUUCCCUUUACUGUAAUGAAAUACCUGAGGCUGAAGACUUUAUAAAGAAAAGAGAUUUAGCUGGGUAUCGUGGUACAAGCCUGUAAUGCCAGCAACUUGGGAGACUGGGGAAGGAGGAUCACAAGUUUGAUGUCAUCCUCGACAACUUAGUGAGGCCCUAAGUGACUCACUGAGACCCUGUCUCCAAAAAAAAUGUGUGGGGGGGGGGGGUGGCACCAAGGAUGUACCUCAGUUGUAGAGUGCCCAUAGGUUCAUACCCUACUACCAAAAAAAUUUUAAAAAGAAAUACAAGAAGUUUAUUUAGCUCAGUUUUUGAGGCCAAGAUCCAGGAUCAGGCGACCCCAUCAAUUCAUCCUUUGGUUAUGACCUCCUUGGCUGGAUUGCAUCAUGGUGGAAGCAUGCACAAGAGAAAGAGAUCACAUGCCAAGACAGAAGCCAGAAGGAAAUGGGAUCCCACAGUCCCUUCUGAAGUAAGCAUCCCAAUGACCUAACAACCUCUCCCCAGCUCCACCACCCCCAGCAUCACCACACUGAAGACCAAGCUUCCAACAUGUGAAACUGGGAGCACACACUCAAACCAUACCCAAACCUCAGUAUUUAGGAAACAUGCUUUCUCACUCUAGUCAGAGGGACUUACCUCAAGAGGAUGUAUCCCCUGUCCAGUGAUGUGUUGUUAUUUUUAAUUUUUUUUAAGUUGUCAAUGGACCUUUUAUUUAUUUAUAUGCAUGUGGUGCUUAAGAUUAAAUGCAGGACCUCACACGUGCCAGGCAGCCCUCUACCACUGAGCCCCAACUCCAGCUCCCCAGUGAUGUGUUGAGCAGUUGUUGCCAGCUGAAGAUGGAACUUUCUCCUAGUGUAUAGGGAGUGCUCCUCAGGAAGCCUCAGACAUGGGUAUGCACAGCCACCUGAGCAGUGUUCAUCAUUGCCGUCAACAAAGCACUGUAAUACAGAUAUUUACAGAUACUGAUCAGGUUUGGGGUUUUGUUUUGCUUUGUUUUGUACAUUGAACCCAAGGGUGCUUUUUCAGACAGGGCCUCGCUAUGUUAUCACACUGAGUUGCCACAGCUUGCUUUGAACUUGCAAUCUUCCUGCCUCAGCCUCCUGAGUCUCUGGGAUUAUGGGCAUGUGCCACAACGUGCAGUCAGAAAAAUUUUAUUUAUUUAUUUUUUUUAAUUUUUAUUUUUUUUAAAGAGAGAGAUUUUUUUAAAAAAAUAUUUAUUUUUUAGUUUUCGG
rnacentral:lncRNA from 1 species